rnacentral:snRNA from 1 species
GCAGGGCCGCGCAAGCGCAGCCCCACACGCAAAAAUUUAGCUGUUGGCCAACUUCAAUUCGAAGCUGCCACAUGGGUCAGCCUUGUGGGGCCUCACCAUGGGGAUCAACGCCUUCGUGAUCACGAGAGUCCCCCAGCCAAGUAAGUUU